GAUGAACGCUGGCGGCGUGCCUAAUACAUGCAAGUCGAGCGAACAGACGAGGAGCUUACUCCUCUGACGUUAGCGGCGGACGGGUGAGUAACACGUGGAUAACCUACCUAUAAGACUGGGAUAACUUCGGGAAACCGGAGCUAAUACCGGAUAACAUGUUGAACCGCAUGGUUCAACAGUGAAAGACGGUCUUGCUGUCACUUAUAGAUGGAUCCGCGUCGCAUUAGCUAGUUGGUAAGGUAACGGCUUACCAAGGCAACGAAGCGUAGCCGACCUGAGAGGGUGAUCGGCCACACUGGAACUGAGACACGGUCCAGACUCCUACGGGAGGCAGCAGUAGGGAAUCUUCCGCAAUGGGCGAAAGCCUGACGGAGCAACGCCGCGUGAGUGAAGAAGGUCUUCGGAUCGUAAAACUCUGUUAUUAGGGAAGAACAAAUGUGUAAGUAACUAUGCACGUCUUGACGGUACCUAAUCAGAAAGCCACGGCUAACUACGUG
rnacentral:rRNA from 1 species